rnacentral:rRNA from 1 species
UACGGAGGGGGCGAGCGUUAUUCGGAAUUAUUGGGCGUAAAGGGCGCGUAGGCGGCUGAACAAGUCAAAGGUGAAAUCCCUCGGCUCAACUGAGGAACUGCCUUUGAAACUGUUCGGCUUGAGGCCGGGAGGGGGUAGCGGAAUUCCCAGUGUAGCGGUGAAAUGCGCAGAUAUCAGGAAGAACACCCGUGGCGAAGGCGGCUCUCUGGGACGGUACUGACGCUGAGAAGCGAAAGCAUGGGUAGCAAACAGG